rnacentral:rRNA from 1 species
UACGUAGGCAGCGAGCGUUGUUCGGAGUUACUGGGCGUAAAGAGUGCGUAGGCGGUGCUCUAAGUUUGGUGUGAAAUCUCCCGGCUCAACUGGGAGGGUGCGCCGAAAACUGGAGUGCUCGAGUAUGGGAGAGGUAAGCGGAAUUCCUGGUGUAGCGGUGAAAUGCGUAGAUAUCAGGAGGAACACCUGCGGUGUAGACGGCUCACUGGACCAUAACUGACGCUGAUGCACGAAAGCUAGGGGAGCAAACAGG